GACAGAGGGGGCAAGCGUUGCUCGGAAUCACUGGGCUUAAAGGGCGCGUAGGCGGGCUCCCAAGUCGGUGGUGAAAUCUUCCGGCCCAACCGGAAAAGUGCCGCCAAUACUGGGAGCCUCGAGGGAGGUAGGGGUCGAGGGAACUCUAGGUGGAGCGGUGAAAUGCGUAGAUAUCUGGAGGAACGCCGGUGGCGAAAGCGCUCGACUGGACCUCUUCUGACGCUGAGGCGCGAAAGCCAGGGGAGCAAACGGG
rnacentral:rRNA from 1 species